CGUCUAUAUACGUAUAGCAUAUCAAUAAGCGGAGGAAAAGAAACUAACUAGGAUUCCCUCAGUAACGGCGAGUGAAGCGGGAAGAGCUCAAAUUUGAAAUCUUCAAGGUUCUACCUUGACGAAUUGUAGUUUAAAGAAGUGUUUUCUGUUGGAGUUUUGGUAAAAGUUCUUUGGAAUAGGACAUCAUAGAGGGUGAGAAUCCCGUAUUUGACCAUUAUUUCCAAUACUUUGUGAUACACUUUCAAAGAGUCGGAUUGUUUGGGAAUGCAGUCCAAAAUGGGUGGUAAAUUUCAUCUAAAGCUAAAUACUGGCGAGAGACCGAUAGCGAACAAGUACCGUGAGGGAAAGAUGAAAAGAACUUUGAAAAGAGAGUUAAACAGUACGUGAAAUUGUCAAAAGGGAAGCGUUUGACACCAGUGUUGUUUUCUCGAAAAUCAAUUAAAAAUGGCGGGAUUUUGUGUUGUAUUGACUUUAUCAGCUUUCUGCACUUUUUUCCUGUCUUUUUUAAUGCACUUUUCGUUUAACAAGUCAACAUCAAUUUCUUUUGUUGUAAAAGGGUCAUUGGAAGGUGGCUUUCAUUUCGGUGAAAGUGUUUAUAGCCUUUGACUUCUGCAAUCGGAGAGAUUGAGGUCUGCAGCGUAGAUCCUUCGGGGUUAGAUACAUUUGUGCUAAGCUAUAGCCUUUCAUAGACAACUUGUUGACUAUGAUCAGUCAUGUAGCUUACUCGCUUAUGCUAUUUUACCUACGCUUAGGAUGUUGACGAUCAGCUGAGCGCG
rnacentral:rRNA from 1 species